rnacentral:tRNA from 1 species
GCCUCGGUAGCGUAGUGGUCAAGACGCUCGCCUGGUAAACAGAAGGGCGUGGGUUCGAUCCCAGCCGAGGCA